UACAGAGGUCUCAAGCGUUGUUCGGAUUCAUUGGGCGUAAGGGGUGCGUAGGCGGCGCGGUAAGUCGGAUGUGAAAUCUCGGAGCUUAACUUCGAAACUGCAUUCGAUACUGCCGUGCUUGAGGACUGGAGAGGAGACUGGAAUUUACGGUGUAGCGGUGAAAUGCGUAGAUAUCGUAAGGAAGACCAGUGGCGAAGGCGGGUCUCUGGACAGUUCCUGACGCUGAGGCACGAAGGUCAGGGGAGCAAACGGG
rnacentral:rRNA from 1 species